UUUAAAGUGUAAUGUAAGUCGCUUUGGAUAAAAGCCUCUGCUAAAUGACCUGUA
rfam:Gasterosteus aculeatus cont1.006725, whole genome shotgun sequence.